GCAAGCUGAAAGAACCCCGUAUUACAAAUUAUGCUCAGCAGGAAAGCAGAUGCACAGAACAAUUCAUCAUCAGAUCCAGACACACUGUCACUUUCUUCAAAUACCCAACAGACAAGAAUAAAUGACAGGGUUUGCCAGGAAUGAGUCCCACACUGGAGUAAUAGAGAAUGAGGAGUGAGCGUCUGCACAAGGACUUUAGGAGCUGAGGACCCCCCAGACUGAUUACAUGCAAGUCUUGAACCAGUCUAGGACAACAGGAAGACAGUGUGCUUGGCAAACACAAGUUGCAGAAAGCAACAGCUAAUUCGGCAUAUCCCAUAAGGGGUAUAGAAUUCGUCCAAGGAGUUCUUGAAUGUGUCCCUUAAAGUCAUGGUAAAGACAAAGUGUAAGAUGAAAGGAAUAGCUGCCUGCAGAGUGAUCCUCGAUAACUGCAUACCACAGGAUAUUGUCACCAGCUAGAAUAGCAUUCAGGAUUCAGGCUAAUAAUGCAGUGGUAUGGUAUGACUGGGAUACGAAUAUUUUAGAACCCAGCAUCAUACAUAUCAGAAAGCAGACAUCACAGUGAGGAGUACUGCAUUAACACCCCACUUCUGAG